rnacentral:rRNA from 1 species
AUUGAACGCUGGCGGCAGGCCUAACACAUGCAAGUCGAGCGCGCGGCGGAGGGGUGUGUAAUGUAUCGGGAUAUGCCCGAUAGAGAGGGUGAUCUAUUGGAAACGGUGGCAAUUAUCGCACACGCUCGGGUGAAACCAUAUGUGAUUUGCUCGUGGGUAGGGUAAUGGCUUACCUAGUCGACGAUCCCUACCUGGUCUGAGAGGAUGAUCAGCCACACUGGGACUGAGACACGGCCCAGACUCCUACGGGAGGCAGCAGUGGGGAAUAUUGCACAAUGGGCGCAAGCCUGAUGCAGCCAUGCCGCGUGUAUGAAGAAGGCCCUAGGGUUGUAAAGUACUUUCAGUCGGGAGGCGUUACCGGCAGAAGAAGCACCGGCUAACUCCGUGCCAGCCGCCGCGGUAAUUC